UGAACGCUGGCGGCGUGCCUACUACAUGCACGUCGAGCGAACAGACGAGGAGCUUGCUCCUCUGACGUUAGCGGCGGACGGGUGAGUAACACGUGGAUAACCUACCUAUAAGACUGGGAUAACUUCGGGAAACCGGAGCUAAUACCGGAUAAUAUAUUGAACCGCAUGGUUCAAUAGUGAAAGACGGUUUUGCUGUCACUUAUAGAUGGAUCCGCGCCGCAUUAGCUAGUUGGUAAGGUAACGGCUUACCAAGGCAACGAUGCGUAGCCGACCUGAGAGGGUGAUCGGCCACACUGGAACUGAGACACGGUCCAGACUCCUACGGGAGGCAGCAGUAGGGAAUCUUCCGCAAUGGGCGAAAGCUUGACGGAGCAACGCCGCGUGAGUGAUGAAGGUCUUCGGAUCGUAAAACUCUGUUAUUAGGGAAGAACAAAUGUGUAAGUAACUAUGCACGUCUUGACGGUACCUAAUCAGAAAGCCACGGCUAACUACGUGC
rnacentral:rRNA from 1 species